AAAGGAUUAGUUUAAAACAAACCACUAAUUUCGACUUAGUAAAUUAUGAUUAAUUAUCAUAAUCCUUUU
rnacentral:tRNA from 1 species